GAUGAACGCUAGCUACAGGCUUAACACAUGCAAGUCGAGGGGAAACGACAUCGAAAGCUUGCUUUUGAUGGGCGUCGACCGGCGCACGGGGGAGUAACGCGUAUCCAACCUGCCCAUCACUUGGGAAUAACCUUGCGAAAGUAAGACUAAUACCCAAUGACAUCCCACGAAGACAUCUGAAUGGGAUUAAAGAUUUAUCGGUGAUGGAUGGGGAUGCGUCUGAUUAGCUUGUUGGCGGGGUAACGGCCCACCAAGGCAACGAUCAGUAGGGGUUCUGAGAGGAAGGUCCCCCACAUUGGAACUGAGACACGGUCCAAACUCCUACGGGAGGCAGCAGUGAGGAAUAUUGGUCAAUGGGCGAGAGCCUGAACCAGCCAAGUAGCGUGCAGGAUGACGGCCCUAUGGGUUGUAAACUGCUUUUAUAAGGGAAUAAAGUGGGUCUCGUGAGACUUUUUGCAUGUACCUUAGGAAUAAGGACCGGCUAAUUCCGU
rnacentral:rRNA from 1 species